GGAGCAUCAUUGAGUUGAAUCAACACAUUGGAUUAAGAGUAACCAUUCAAUUCACUUUUAAUACCACAUGUUCACCCAAAACCUUAAGGCAAAUACCACUAUUGUGCCGUGAGGGGAAGCCUCACUGGUUUGGAUCAAUACAUUAGGCUAAGAACAAUCACACAAGUGACUUUUAACACCAUAUUCACCUAAAAUCUUAAGGCAUUAAAUUUACGUCUCCUUUCAUUUAUAUGUUGCGCAACCAAUGUAAGACUUUUAACUCGU
rnacentral:lncRNA from 1 species